UACGAAGGUGGCAAGCGUUACUCGGAAUUACUAGGCGUAAAGGGCAGGUAGGUGGUUCGGUAAGUCUGUUGUGUAAGCUCCUGGCUUAACUGGGAGAGGUCAACGGAAACUACCGGACUUGAGUAUAGGAGAGGUUACUGGAAUUCCCGGUGUAGCGGUGAAAUGCGCAGAGAUCGGGAGGAACACCAAUGGCGAAAGCAGGUAACUGGACUAUUACUGACACUAAGCUGCGAAAGCGAGGGGAGCAAACAGG
rnacentral:rRNA from 1 species